AAUUUUGUUAUUACAAGGGUUUUGAAAACCUUUUUAGAGGGAAAUUUCCUCAACUU
rnacentral:tRNA from 1 species